rnacentral:rRNA from 1 species
UUUGGAAGUAAAANUCGUAACAAGGUCUCCGUUGGUGAACCAGCGGAGGGAUCAUUACCGAGUUUACAACUCCCAAACCCAAUGUGAACCAUACCAAACUGUUGCCUCGGCGGGGUCACGCCCCGGGUGCGUCGCAGCCCCGGAACCAGGCGCCCGCCGGAGGGACCAACCAAACUCUUUUCUGUAGUCCCCUCGCGGACGUUAUUUCUUACAGCUCUGAGCAAAAAUUCAAAAUGAAUCAAAACUUUCAACAACGGAUCUCUUGGUUCUGGCAUCGAUGAAGAACGCAGCGAAAUGCGAUAAGUAAUGUGAAUUGCAGAAUUCAGUGAAUCAUCGAAUCUUUGAACGCACAUUGCGCCCGCCAGUAUUCUGGCGGGCAUGCCUGUCCGAGCGUCAUUUCAACCCUCGAACCCCUCCGGGGGGUCGGCGUUGGGGACCUCGGGAGCCCCUAAGACGGGAUCCCGGCCCCGAAAUACAGUGGCGGUCUCGCCGCAGCCUCUCCUGCGCAGUAGUUUGCACAACUCGCACCGGGAGCGCGGCGCGUCCACGUCCGUAAAACACCCAACUUCUGAAAUGUUGACCUCGGAUCAGGUAGGAAUACCCGCUGAACUUAAGCAUAUCAAUA